GAUGAACGCUGGCGGCGUGCCUAAUACAUGCAAGUCGAGCGAACGGACGAGAAGCUUGCUUCUCUGAUGUUAGCGGCGGACGGGUGAGUAACACGUGGAUAACCUACCUAUAAGACUGGGAUAACUUCGGGAAACCGGAGCUAAUACCGGAUAAUAUUUUGAACCGCAUGGUUCAAAAGUAAAAGACGGUCUUUCUGUCACUUAUAGAUGGAUCCGCGCUGCAUUAGCUAGUUGGUAAGGUAACGGCUUACCAAGGCAACGAUGCAUAGCCGACCUGAGAGGGUGAUCGGCCACACUGGAACUGGGACACGGUCCAGACUCCUACGGGAGGCAGCAGUAGGGAAUCUUCCGCAAUGGGCGAAAGCCUGACGGAGCAACGCCGCGUGAGUGAUGAAGGUCUUCGGAUCGUAAAACUCUGUUAUUAGGGAAGAACAUAUGUGUAAGUAACUGUGCACAUCUUGACGGUACCUAAUCAGAAAGCCACGGCUAACUACGUG
rnacentral:rRNA from 1 species